UUAAAUUGAAGAGUUUGAUCAUGGCUCAGAUUGAACGCUGGCGGCAGGCCUAACACAUGCAAGUCGAACGG
rnacentral:rRNA from 41 species